ACAAACAAGCACCGUAACAUACUCCUGAAACAAGCUGAUUCAUCAGUAAACACAAACUUACCUGAUCUUCACACAAAAACACUCAUCAACCUGCAAUUUCUGCUCCCACGGAUCAAUUUUACAAUUCAACAAGAUGAAACCAGUCCACACAAAGUGAUUACAUACACAUAGCCCUAUUACGGAUCCUGUAACUCAGAUUUUCCAAAAUCAUUAUGCAACAUAACCUCUACAAGAGCUGCUAAACGAUAAUCGAUGAUAAUUUGCAUCGAACAAUCAAAACGAUAAGGGAAAAAGUAGGUGAGAAGCGCCAAUAUCAAAUCCAUCGGGUAAAAUUCACAUAAAUUAGAGAGACGACGAAGAUAAUGUUACUUCUGCGAGCAGAGAAGAGUGCGUACAAGAGCUCACAAGUAAAAACCAAGGAAAUCGAACUAAACACCUAAGAAUCGUCUCUAGAACAAAGAGGAAGAUGAAAAUAAAAAGAAGAAGAUGACGAACAGAGAGGUCGUCGGAGUAAUCGU